CACGGGGGGAGCAAGCGUUGUUCGGAAUCACUGGGCGUAAAGGGCGUGUAGGCGGUCAGGUAAGUGGAAUGUGAAAGCCCCCGGCUCACCCGGGGAUCUGCAUCCCAAACUGCCUGGCUUGAGUACGGGAGAGGAUGAGGGAAUUCCUGGUGUAGCGGUGAAAUGCGCAGAUAUCAGGAGGAACACCGGUGGCGAAGGCGGGUCUCUGGGCCGAUACUGACGCUGAGGAGCGAAAGCGUGGGGAGCGAACAGG
rnacentral:rRNA from 1 species